rnacentral:rRNA from 1 species
AGUGAACGCUGGCGGUAGGCCUAACACAUGCAAGUCGAACGGCAGCACAGUAAGAGCUUGCUCUUACGGGUGGCGAGUGGCGGACGGGUGAGGAAUACAUCGGAAUCUACUUUUUCGUUGGGGAUAACGUAGGGAAACUUACGCUAAUACCGCAUACGACCUACGGGUGAAAGCAGGGGAUCUUCGGACCUUGCGCGAUUGAAUGAGCCGAUGUCGGAUUAGCUAGUUGGCGGGGUAAAGGCCCACCAAGGCGCCGAUCCGUAGCUGGUCUGAGAGGAUGAUCAGCCACACUGGAACUGAGACACGGUCCAGACUCCUACGGGAGGCAGCAGUGGGGAAUAUUGGACAAUGGGCGCAAGCCUGAUCCAGCCAUACCGCGUGGGUGAAGAAGGCCUUCGGGUUGUAAAGCCCUUUUGUUGGGAAAGAAAAGCAGCAGGUUAAUACCCCGCUGUUCUGACGGUACCCAAAGAAUAAGCACCGGCUAACUUCGUG